CGCCAUGUUUUCUUUCUCUUGCCGCACCCAGUCUUGUGUGGAUGCUACGCUCCAGCUAGAGCUGGAUUUACGGUACUUAGACAACAGACCAUAAAAGAGGUAUUUUGCCACUAAAGUUAACUGCAGAAGUUACGGAAGUAGACAAGAACCAUCAGACAUCUUUGAACCACGUAGAAAUCGAUAUUCCGGCUGUUUUUUUUUUUGAGGAUUCUCAUCAGCGGGACUCCGAUCUUCAUCCAUCUGCUGUGUGUUGAUGUCCAUCCACGUUCACAUCUCCAUCACGCUGGGAUCGGCCAUCACCUCGGACCGUCUCAUCGGACAUUCAUCAUAAGGGGGCGCUAACUGAUGAUGUGAUGCAUGGUGUAAUGGAGCAUCAAUAAAACUGAAAACUGCAGCUGGAGGAGCAAUAAAGGGUGGGAGGAAGCAAUCUCGUUCUGACUGGUACAUGAUGGAUGUUCCCCCGACAAAUCCAAGGAUUCAGCCCCGCCUGGUGUCAUUAUUGUACAGAAAGUUCCUUUGGAUUCCCUUUGAGCAAGAACUUGGCAACAGCAGAAGAAAACGACUUCUGGCAGAACCAAGCUCUGGGAGGGCAGCCAUCUGCAUAGACCGGCUUGAGUGAAGGCAAAGGGAGAACACAACAGCAGUACCUUGUGAUGCCAGUGAGGCCACAGACUGCUUGACCAGCAGCCUGAACCUGCCGCACCCCACAGCCCGUCUCAGUCAUUUCCUUUCUGGGCAGCUCUGUGUGCCUGCUCAGCCCAAGGCCAGGCUGUUCCUGUUUGGAUUCCUGCAGGAAUGGACUUUGCAAGUUUUCCCCUGGGUUCUCAUUUGUCUGAUGGGACGUUUUCCACUGAGAUGGCAAACUGACUGGUGGUCACUUGCAGACAGUUGCCAGGACUCAACAUGGAACUCAAACAAGAAACAUUAUAGCACAUGUUCAGAAUCUGUAUGACACAUGAUCUGCAUUCAUUCUCCCUCUGUUGGGUGUAGAUGCACACACACUAACCCUACCUUUAAACAUCUCUGACUUAGAAAGUUGAGAAAAGUGGUAGUUGAGGACAUUCAGUGAACGUGUUAUUUUGAUUUUAGAUGAAGGUUUUGUUUGCCAGUUACAGAUAUUUUAGAGAAGUCCUCAUCAGAUGUUCAUGAUAUGCUGCCAACUAAAGUAGAGCACUUAAGAGCAAGUGGCGCAGCAAUGUCAGUGCAGUUUGUCAUACUCAUAAGUGUGUCAUUAAGAACAUAUCACCAGAAAGAGAGCAAAAUACAUGUUAUGUUAGUGGUACUGCUAUGUUUUCUUCUUAAUCACGGUCCUGUUCAGUGAAAAAGUAAAUGUAAAACCAUUUCCCUCUGUGCGAUAUACUGGUAGCUAGGGUCUUGAAUUAUAUGGGUAAUCAGCCUCAGUGGUCUCAUUCAGUCUGCUGCAUGCUCUACAUGCCACACCUCCCUCAUCAGAGGAUCUCUAAAUAUAGAAUGUGACAUAUUCAGCCCACAACUGUUUGAUUACCCAUAUAUCUCAGAGAGCAGAUGUUUGAGAUGCCAAUCCAUGGAGAGGCCUCACCCCAUUUUUUUUUUCAGUAUGUGCGAUCACCCCUUUAAUGUAGCUCCACAGCUUUAGAUGUGAACUUCAAACAUUAUGAUGAUGUUUCUUCUCUGGCCAAACCUAUAAAACCUGCAGUGAUACCUUUUAAUGCAGUGAUUCAGUAUUUAUCUGCUACUCAGUGUCUGUAAUCAAGAGGUUUUACCAUGACACAAACUGCAGUAGAUGUGACCGGCCAUGAAGAGUAGUGAACCAGUAGUGUGAGUACAGUAGUGAUUUGUGAGAUUUCGCGCAGUACGAAGGAUAAUACCUGAGCUGAAAACACUAGAUAAGAUUUGAAAAAUACCACAUGCAUCAAGUGUUUUCAGCCCAGGUAAUAUCCUUCAUACUGCGCAAAAUCUCACAAAACGGAUCUGGGACACCUUAUCUUUCCAUUGACAAUCUGAUGUCUACAUUUCACUACUAGGGACUUUAAAGGACAUCAAGUCAAUUCAAUUUUCAAUUCACAGUAAAAAUGUUGGAUGUCCUUUAAAGUCCCUUUGUUAUCAUAGUUUUAGGCCCCACCUUGUGGAGAGUAUGCAGAGAAAGUUCAAUUUUUUUAAACAUUUUUUUUCUUAGGGUAAAUUGUGCACUUCCAGGAUAAACGUGUUUAAUCCAAUUACAACAAAGUGUUUCAAUAAAAUCAUGCACAUAUUGUAAAAAGAGAGCUUUGCUGCACUAGUUGCACAGACAGAGCUGUAGCAGUUAUCAUGACGCAAGGGUUUCUUGCAGUACAAAGAAAAGCCAGAGUACAUUACUAUAACAGAGGUACAAAUCAUAGUCGGCAUUAAACAUUUAGUUGCUGUAGGCAUUGAUGUUGGUGCCAAGAGUAAGGGACUAUUUUAAAGCGUUGAUGCAGUAAAAACCUUUCUAUUGUAAUAGUCAGCCGUUGACAGCAUUAAAACAGGGAAAUUACUCUGUUAAGCUUUCCCAUUGCGAUUGCAAAAUGAAAGCCGGGGAGACAUGUGGCUGGUGAAGUUAUAACUGACACUCUGAUGAUCCCCGGUGGCCUCAGAUGUCCUGCUCAAAUGUCCUGAAGAAACACAUCGAACUAAUUCGAGGGGAAAUUGUUUUUCUACUGACUCUGUACACCUUGACCAUAAUAGGAAAGAUAAGAAGUAAACAGCAAACAUAGAUCUACGUCCGCACACUGCCCCAUUGCCGGCAGCAACAAACUGAAAAUAUUCAAGAUAAGAUUAUAAGAAACACAAGCAAACAUGAAUGUCACUGCAGAUACUAUUCAGUCGCCUUUCUUUCGUUCAGUUACUGCAUCUAUUCACUCUCUUCACAGAUGUCAGAUUCCAUGUGACAUGACUUCAGGCAAGUAGAAAUUUAAAUUCUCCAAAUGGAAUCUGAAGGAGUCACUAUUUAAGUUCAGACAGGACACUUUGUCAUUUAACCGUUUAUUUCAAAAUGACAUGCACUUGGUCGUGACUCUGCUCAAGUGAUUUUCUGGAACAAACUGAGCAAGCUCGACACGGACAGUCCUUGAGAUCAUAAACCCCCAAACUUGCACUUUGAAAGGGAGCAGAUGAGUAGUUACCUUGAAAUGAAAUGGAGUUUUGUGAAAUAAACCUAAUUGUACCGACAAAUGUGUCGCAUUUCCUCUGAAUUCAUGCAAGUAGCAUGACCUUUUAUCUGAAUGCAUAGAAUCAUCAACAUGUCGAAUGCAAACGGAUGAAUGUCUGGCAAGUAUAGUGACUUGAUACAAUGGAAAUCAAAUAUGUGAGAUAUGAGACUGACGCAUGAUGCAUUUCCUUUGAAUGCAUGCAACCUUUACAUCUGAUUGCAGGCAAUCAAUGGCAUGCUGAAUGCACACAGCUGAACAUCUGGCAAGGCACUAUUAUAUUGACUUGAUACACGGGAAAUGAAGAUCAGAGCACCUUUAUAAUAAUAUUAAUCAACUUUGAAAGCCUAAGGUCAAUGAAUUACUCAUGCUUAUCUCAAAAGAAGACAGAUAUAGUGACGCCGUGCAAGGAAUAGAUUUUCUCAGUGUGUGAAAUGAACUUCCCAUGACUAAGAAACACCCUAAGCCACAAGGAGGACUGUCAUAAGUGGGUAUCUACAUGUAGACUAAACAUCCAGACUUUAAGUGAGAACUGACCUUGCACCAAAAAGCUUAAUAGUAAGAUGUUUAUUGUUGCCUGCUGGAUGAACUUCUUUGGUCCAUUGAAGACGAGGUAACAAUAUCCUUUCCUAAGAAAUUUAGAACUGCAGGGUCUAAAUGUCUUUAAUAAAACCGGACUUCAGAAAUUAAACAUACAGACUUGACAAGUAUUGAACCAGAUUAUGUUUGGACUCGAUUGGUUUGGUCAAAUGUUGGCAAGACAAGCUGCAGGGAGAAACACUGGAGCACAGACAUGACUGAGGAGCACUCAAUGUUGACUGAUGCUUCAUUGCCUCAAAACACAUUCAUCUUCCUGCAGGAAGGGGAUUAGAUCGUAACAAAGUGGCAGGCAGAAAGCUAGUGGGCAAGGAUAGAACCCCUAGGCCACACAUCUGCAAAACAUUAGUUAUUAAAGAAGAUCCCCAAAACCCGACCAAUGAUUCCAGUGUGUCAUUAUAAAUGAAGCAUCAGAGCUGGAUGCUUCAGAUCUGUGGUUGCUCUCCCACCAACUGGCUUAGUCUCCAUCUGUAGGAUGCUGCUGCUCCAGCCCACUGCUCCCAGCUGCCCAUUUCCACCAAUCUACUCUGCAUUGCCCUUACUAUACUUGAUUUGCUCAUCUACAUAUUUUUGAAUUUACCACCAGCUAUAUAUGUAGUAUAUUUCAUGCCAGAGCCGUACACCACAGCAGUAAACUAUAAUCAGUUUCCAUGUUAGUUGUACUUUGCAUGUAUCUUCUGUCUUAUUGUGCAUGUAUCAAAUUGUGUUUUAUGGUCCUUGUGUCAGGCAUAUGGGUUCUGUAAAGCAUCUUGAGACAAUUUGACUGUAAUUGGCGCUAUAUAA